rnacentral:rRNA from 1 species
AGUCGACGGAAGUCGUUAUGAUGAUUUCAACACUGACAGAGAACUUGUUCAAAGAAAGUAGAGAUUGACUUAUAACAAUGGCUUUAGUGGCGGACUGGUGAGUAACACGUGAGCAACCUGCCUAUCAGAGGGGAAUAACAGUGAGAAAUCAUUGCUAAUACCGCAUAUGCCAUAAAUAUCACAUGAUGAAAGUGGGAAAGGAGUAAUCCGCUGAUAGAUGGGCUCGCGUCUGAUUAGAUAGUUGGUGGGGUAACGGCCUACCAAGUCGACGAUCAGUAGCCGGACUGAGAGGUUGAACGGCCACAUUGGGACUGAGAUACGGCCCAGACUCCUACGGGAGGCAGCAGUCGGGAAUAUUGCGCAAUGGAGGAAACUCUGACGCAGUGACGCCGCGUAUAGGAAGAAGGUUUUCGGAUUGUAAACUAUUGUCGUUAGGGAAGAUACAAGACAGUACCUAAGGAGGAAGCUCCGGCUAACUACGUGCCAGCAGCCGCGGUAAUACGUAGGGAGCAAGCGUUAUCCGGAUUUAUUGGGUGUAAAGGGUGCGUAGACGGGAAAGCAAGUUAGUUGUGAAAUCCCUCGGCUUAACUGAGGAACUGCAACUAAAACUACUUUUCUUGAGUGUUGGAGAGGAAAGUGGAAUUCCUAGUGUAGCGGUGAAA